UGUAGACCACAUGGUUAGCAUGACCUUCUCUUGGUUCUACUGACCUCCUUGGAGGGUGUUGGCCCACUACUAAUUGAUGUUGCCCCCAUGCAUUGGGCUUUCAUGGAUAGUUGUAGAUCCAUGUUCUUUUUGAGAGAUGUGGACACUAAUUGGUGCUCGGGCCAAACAAACAAUUUAUUCUUCCCGGAAUUUAUUCUUUGUGGUUUGUGCAGCAGCCUUAUAUGUAUCGAAAUGAAUUCUAUUAAGUCUUCAUGGGUAUCUGGGACCUGGUAGACUUAGUGGGACUUACGAGUAGGAAUGGGAGAAAGGGGCAGCAUGAUCUUACUAUGCAGACUGUAUUUCCAGAAACCUGCUCAGCCAGCUCCUGAUGGAGAACACAUGUAGGAAGAAGUUGGUCCCACUGAAGCAGGAGAGCAAGGAGGUACAUCUUGAUUGUGCACUGAACCAGAAAUAUUUGGUUGACUUCAACAAGAAAGAUAAAGACCACCAACGUCCAGACCCAGCAUCAUCUGGUCUCAGAAAGUGCAAGAGAGCUGGAAUUGGACACACCCCAGUAAGAGAGCUUCCUGAAGAAUAAGUUGCUUUCUCAGGAGUCCCUGAUGACAAACAUCCUGAAUGAAAACAGCACCUGAGAGACAACUUGGGGGACAGCCUUUCAUUAUGUGUGCAAGAGGAGAAACAGCAAUACAUCUGUGCUUCUAAAUGUUCCUUAAGAAUGUGCUGUUUAGAAAUAUUUUUGUUAUGAUUUUAAUUGAAAUUUUCUUUUUGUUGUUUCAUAUUUAUAUGUUCUUGUUACUGUUUUUAUCUUUUCACAUACUUUUAAAUAUUUUAAUUUAUUUGUUUUAAUCUUGUUUUGUUGUAAAAAUGAAUUCCUUAUGAAUAAAUAUUGAAUUCUA